GCCAGUGCAAAUGAAUGCAUCCCAACCCCAGUCACCACCGGGGGACCCCCACCACCGGAGCCCUGUUGAGGAAAAGGGGAUCGGGUAGAGAGAACCCGAGAGUGUGUGGGCGGCGGCGGCCCCAGCGGUGGCGAGGUCGCACGGUGCGUCUAUACUGCAGGCCGCGAACGGCGACCGGGAUCAGCUAGGGCGCUGCAUGGCCAUGGACUUCCCGUCUCUCACGCCGACAGAAGAAGCGGCUAGCACGGCGCGCGCUAAUGGAGCUGGUUGGGGGUGGUCGUCAUGGGAAGAUUUUUCGGCUAGUGGAUCGCGUGUUGCUGUUCUUGUGGAUUUCGGAUUAGGAGCAAUGGCCCGGGAGGCGAGGAAACUAGUGUGGCUGCUGGUGGCGUCGGCGUGUCCGAUUUCACGGAGAGUGCAGGGGACAACGUGGAUGUCAUUGACCACGGUUGUGUUGAAGGGCCGCCGGUUGCAGACCAGGAUGUUGUAAUUUAAGAGCGUGCUGAUAGUGGCGAUGCAGUCUCAGCACAGUCGCAAGAUGGAUCCACAAGCCAUGGCAUAUACUAAAAGGGUUAAGAGUAGGGAAUCAUGCUCCAGAUAGUACGCCAUGCCCGGAUAGGGAUAUGCGGAUAAACUUGGCGACCAUGUAGUUGACCCUGCCAUUGGCCUAACAUUUGACUCACUCGGUGAGGCCUACGAUAUUUACAACCUGUACUUGUUGGAGCACAGCUUUGGUAUAAGGAAACCAACAAAGGAAAACAGCAGGUCCUGCCGCUGUGAGUGUCCAGCAAUGAUAAGAAGCGGCAGGAUGAUAACAUGCCUACUGAAUCUGAACUCUUGCAGUGCAUCUUGACGACAUAUGAACUGAGGGUUGAACGGGAAUCUUGUCUGUGGAGACAACCAGCUGCAUGACGUGAAGGUGAAAAAUGGUUCACCGUGGCCAGAGGCUGUCCUAAUAAGUUUCAGUUUGUUUGUGCAGGAAGCCGAGGAGGAAGGGGUGGCAGGAGGAACUACAAACAAGCUUGUUUGCGCUCCGGUUGUGCUGGAAACCAAUCUCGGGAUUGGCAACAAAAUUUCUUGGUAGAAACACAGGGCAACGGUUCGAACGGGCUUGGCGAGCUCGUUCUCUCACAUGACGCAUCGCCGAGGAGAGCAGUGCUGCGGGACUGCCGUGGAGGACUAGCAAUGUCAAGAUAGAGGAAGGAGUGUCAGCACUGCCGCAGGUUCCUUUCCGAUUAUCUCGCGGACCGCUCGAUACCAUCAUAAGUCAGUAGUAAGCUUUCUGAUUGUAAGGCUGGAAGAUUGUUUUUUCAGUUCUUUGCAAUCGUUAGUGCUGUGUAAAUGGUUAGUGCAUCUACAAUUCAACUGAUUCUGAAUUUUAAUGCUAGUGGUAAAUAGUUUCUGUUCUGAAUGGUUCUGAAUUUCAUUGACAAGUGUUAUUUGAUUAUUUGGUUUUUGCUUGUUUAAUCUCUUCCCGCAUGACAUGUGGAUUAGGAAGAUACUUACUUGUUAUGACACCGG
rnacentral:rRNA from 1 species